rnacentral:rRNA from 1 species
CACCUACGGGAGGCAGCAGUGGGGAAUAUUGCACAAUGGGGGAAACCCUGAUGCAGCGACGCCGCGUGAGUGAAGAAGUAUUUCGGUAUGUAAAGCUCUAUCAGCAGGGAAGAUAAUGACGGUACCUGACUAAGAAGCACCGGCUAACUACGUGGCAGCAGCCGCGGUAAUACGUAGGGGGCAAGCGUUAUCCGGAUUUACUGGGUGUAAAGGGAGCGUAGACGGUGCAGCAAGUCUGAUGGGAAAGGUAGGG